CACCCGGUAGCACAUGGGGUGCGUCUGCCUUACAUGUUCGAGAGUAAAAGACAAUCAUGUAGGCUGUAGAAGGCCCCCGUUCGAUUCGGGGUCGGGUGA